rnacentral:lncRNA from 1 species
GGGAUCUCAGAGGCCAGACUGUCAACUCCCUUUCACAGAAAAAGAAAACCAGUCCCCAGGAGGGUAGGUCCAAGGUCACAAAGUUAAUGAAUGUUAGAAGCAGGAUUUGAACUCCAUGCUCGUGAAAAGGGGCAUCUGGUCUCAGCUGAACUCCUCACAUACCCUGCCACACCUGAGCUGCCACACUGGCUGCUUCCAAGAAGGCUUCCAGGGCCAAUCCCCGCCAGCCUGGGAGUUUCAGGAAGUCCUACAGCCAAUGGAGGGAAGGCAGGGCCUUCUCCAAUCUCUUCUUCCCAGUCUCUAGCCUUGGAUUGCGUACCACCAAUUCCCUCAGCUGAUGGCAUGCUCUGGAUACCAAGCCCUUCAUCGUCCUGGUUUCCCAACACUGGAAAUUUUCUGGCCCAUUAAUGUCCUUCUUAAACCAUGGUGCCCAGAACUGAACACAGGCCUCCUCAUCAAGUAUGUGGGACAACCACCUCCUUAUUCUUGGAAGCUACUGCCCCACUUUACAUGGUUCAAAAUCAGCUUUUUGGGGCACCCCAUUACAUGGCUGACUCAUACUCAGCUUGUGGUCUGCUAACACCCUCAGCUCUUUUCUGACACACUCCUGCUUCACUAUGUCUUUUCCAUCGUAUACCCUUUCUGGGUUUCACUGUCAUAUUCUGUACAAUGAAGCAACUGGAUGCAAAGUGGUCAAGCAGAUAACUUGCCAGCACUGUAGUCUAUGAGUAUAUGAUCAAAAAUUAUGUUUCCUUUAAAAAUAAAAACAGCAUUUGGUAAACUUUUCUAAACCGG